rnacentral:rRNA from 1 species
UACGUAGGGUGCAAGCGUUGUCCGGAAUUAUUGGGCGUAAAGAGCUCGUAGGCGGUUUGUCGCGUCUGCUGUGAAAACUCGGGGCUUAACCCCGGGCCUGCAGUGGGUACGGGCAGACUAGAGUGCGGUAGGGGAGACUGGAAUUCCUGGUGUAGCGGUGAAAUGCGCAGAUAUCAGGAGGAACACCGGUGGCGAAGGCGGGUCUCUGGGCCGUAACUGACGCUGAGGAGCGAAGGCGUGGGGAGCGAACGGG